CUACGGGUGGCAGCAGUGGGGAAUAUUGGACAAUGGGGGAAACCCUGAUCCAGCAAUGCCGCGUGUGUGAAGAAAGCCUGCGGGUUGCAAAGCACUUUCGGUUGGGAGGACUGCUUCUAGCACUAAUAUUGUUGGAAGUUGACGUUACCUUCAGAAGAAGCACCGGCUAACUCCGUGCCAGCAGCCGCGGUAAUACGGAGGGUGCAUGCGUUAAUCGGAAUUACUGGGCGUAAAGCGCGCGUAGGCGGCUAGAUCAGUCGGGUGUGAAAGCCCCGGGCUUAACCUGGGAACUGCAUCCGAUACUGUCUAGCUUGAGUACAGGAGAGGAGAGUGGAAUUCCACAUGUAGCGGUGAAAUGCGUAGAUAUGUGGAGGAACACCAAUGGCGAAGGCAGCUCUCUGGCCUGAUACUGACGCUGAGGUGCGAAAGCGUGGGGAGCAAACAGGAUUAGAUACCCUCGUAGUC
rnacentral:rRNA from 1 species